UAGCGGCGGACGGGUGAGUAACACGUGGAUAACCUACCUAUAAGACUGGGAUAACUUCGGGAAACCGGAGCUAAUACCGGAUAAUAUUUUGAACCGCAUGGUUCAAAAGUGAAAGACGGUCUUGCUGUCACUUAUAGAUGGAUCCGCGCUGCAUUAGCUAGUUGGUAAGGUAACGGCUUACCAAGGCAACGAUGCAUAGCCGACCUGAGAGGGUGAUCGGCCACACUGGAACUGAGACACGGUCCAGACUCCUACGGGAGGCAGCAGUAGGGAAUCUUCCGCAAUGGGCGAAAGCCUGACGGAGCAACGCCGCGUGAGUGAUGAAGGUCUUCGGAUCGUAAAACUCUGUUAUUAGGGAAGAACAUAUGUGUAAGUAACUGUGCACAUCUUGACGGUACCUAAUCAGAAAGCCACGGCUAACUACGUGCCAGCAGCCGCGGUAAUACGUAGGUGGCAAGCGUUAUCCGGAAUUAUUGGGCGUAAAGCGCGCGUAGGCGGUUUUUUAAGUCUGAUGUGAAAGCCCACGGCUCAACCGUGGAGGGUCAUUGGAAACUGGAAAACUUGAGUGCAGAAGAGGAAAGUGGAAUUCCAUGUGUAGCGGUGAAAUGCGCAGAGAUAUGGAGGAACACCAGUGGCGAAGGCGACUUUCUGGUCUGUAACUGACGCUGAUGUGCGAAAGCGUGGGGAUCAAACAGGAUUAGAUACCCUGGUAGUCCACGCCGUAAACGAUGAGUGCUAAGUGUUAGGGGGUUUCCGCCCCUUAGUGCUGCAGCUAACGCAUUAAGCACUCCGCCUGGGGAGUACGACCGCAAGGUUGAAACUCAAAGGAAUUGACGGGGACCCGCACAAGCGGUGGAGCAUGUGGUUUAAUUCGAAGCAACGCGAAGAACCUUACCAAAUCUUGACAUCCUUUGACAACUCUAGAGAUAGAGCCUUCCCCUUCGGGGGACAAAGUGACAGGUGGUGCAUGGUUGUCGUCAGCUCGUGUCGUGAGAUGUUGGGUUAAGUCCCGCAACGAGCGCAACCCUUAAGCUUAGUUGCCAUCAUUAAGUUGGGCACUCUAAGUUGACUGCCGGUGACAAACCGGAGGAAGGUGGGGAUGACGUCAAAUCAUCAUGCCCCUUAUGAUUUGGGCUACACACGUGCUACAAUGGACAAUACAAAGGGCAGCGAAACCGCGAGGUCAAGCAAAUCCCAUAAAGUUGUUCUCAGUUCGGAUUGUAGUCUGCAACUCGACUACAUGAAGCUGGAAUCGCUAGUAAUCGUAGAUCAGCAUGCUACGGUGAAUACGUUCCCGGGUCUUGUACACACCGCCCGUCACACCACGAGAGUUUGUAACACCCGAAGCCGGUGGAGUAACCUUUUAGGAGCUAGCCGUCGAAGGUGGGACAAAUGAUUGG
rnacentral:rRNA from 1 species